UGUAGCUUUUCCCUUGAAAAUGUGUGUAAAUUCCUUGCGACAUUCCCAGGUCGUUUUGUGGGGCAGAGGGAUUUUUUUGGCAGGUGCGUGCUCUGUUAAGGAUUUCUUACGUGCUUGCGCGUUGGUUUUCUAUUUUCUCUGUUUCAUUCUAACCCCUAGUGAUCACUUAUGCUAGGUAAUAAAUGUUUCCCCUGAGGCUGAAUUCCCAAGUGCUGCUUGUAAUGAGUGUGGUUUGAAUGCUAUUUAGUAAAAUCUCAUCAUUGGAGGCCAUAUUCUUUUAUUACAUAUAAUACUUGUGGGUCUGUCUCCCUAUGAAUGUCUGCAGUUUAAUUUUAGAAGGUGCCUGCAUGUGACUGCAUGGAACUGUGUACAAAGAUCAAUACGUCAACCUUUGGGAUGGAGGCCCAGGAACAGAAGAGAAGAUAAAAGAAGACUGGGGAAAAAGUGAUAGAAAAAUAAUGGCUGUGAAUGCAAGUAGAUGGCAGGCUAUAAAACGUAAUGACAUAGAAAUGAGAAGCUGGGGUGUGGUUCAGGGUACCUCAAACCUUGUAACUGUCAACGGCAAACUUGCAUUUUGCCGGGAGGCUGCGGCACCGUACGUCUGUUGCUUUCUCGGAGUCAAGCCAGCGAUCCGAGAGUAGAACCUCAGUCUUGUGAAGGAAACAUCCUCCUUGAAGUACGAUGGCUGACAUCCUGUUAAAUUCCUAUAUAGAGAAAUGAGCUAUAGGCAAGUUACAAAACCUGAAUGAUGAAUGGAAGAGAGACAGCCUGAGAAAUAAUGUCCAGCCUCUAAAUAAAAAUACUACAGGCCACUUGCUUUAAGUCCCAACAAAACUGUUAGGUUCUAGGGCUUCAAAUGAGCAACAAACUGACUAGGAGGAAAAGGGUGAAUUAAGGAUAAAAUAAGCUUUAACUGUUUCUUGCACAAAAUCCUCUAUGCUCAGGUCUGCAGUUAAAGGCAUUUGUAGCAAAAAACCCCUCACUGAAAUGCCUCAAUUUCAGUCUAUAGAAGCCAUAAUUAAGUUCCUUUCUUGCUUUCUUAUCAAAUGGCUACCAAUGUCAGUUCAGGGUCUUUCUUGAUACAAAGUUUGUAAAUACAAACAGAAAGUGGGGAGCCUUACAACCCAACUUCCAUAGGAGCAGUUGCGGUCUGUCACUGAUGCAGGCUGCAAACAGGAAGGGAAAAAUUGUUUGUAUUUUUAGUUGGAACUGCGGUCCUGUCUUCUGUUAGAAGCAGUCUUCUCGAGAUUAAGAUGAAAUAUUGUGAAGAGGUAAAAAGGACUGAAGUUUUAGUAAAUUCUGUUUACUCAUUUUUGUUGUGCAGCUGUGGAGAAACCGUAGUGCCCGCUCGCAGGUGCGCUGCAGGCAACAAGGGAGGCAAAGUUGAUUCUGGAAACCUAAAUUCAGUGCAUGUGUACUGGAUUCAACGGAAGACUUUUCUGGGCUUUCAGCUAAAUCCAAACUCUGAAAUGGGAGAAGUCAGUAAAUGAGAAAAUAGGACUAGGAACAUGAAAUAAUAGCUCUUCGGGGAGCUUUGAGGUCAAAGACUUUUAAAAAAAAAAUUUUUUUUUUUUU